GCCGGCAGCUAGCUCUCUGCAACUCCCACAGUCGCCCACUGAAGCUAAGCAGGGCUGCGCCCGGUCAGUACCUGGAUGGGAGACCACAUGGGAAAGCUAGGUUGCUGCCGGAA
rnacentral:rRNA from 1 species